UUAAGCGACUAAGCGUACACGGUGGAUGCCCUGGCAGUCAGAGGCGAUGAAGGACGUGCUAAUCUGCGAAAAGCGACGGCGAGGUGAUAUGAACCUUUGACCCGUCGAUGUCCGAAUGGGGAAACCCAGUGUGUUCCGACACACUAUCGUUAACUGAAUACAUAGGUUAACGAGGCGAACCGGGGGAACUGAAACAUCUAAGUACCCCGAGGAAAAGAAAUCAACCGAGAUUCCCCCAGUAGCGGCGAGCGAACGGGGAGCAGCCCGGAGUCUGAAUCAGCUUGUGUGUUAGUGGAACGGUCUGGAAAGUCCGACGGUACAGGGUGAUAGUCCCGUACACGAAAAUGCACAGGUUGUGAACUCGAAGAGUAGGGCGGGACACGUGGUAUCCUGUCUGAAUAUGGGGGGACCAUCCUCCAAGGCUAAAUACUCCUGACUGACCGAUAGUGAACCAGUACCGUGAGGGAAAGGCGAAAAGAACCCCGGCGAGGGGAGUGAAAAAGAACCUGAAACCGUGUACGUACAAGCAGUGGGAGCACCUUCGGGUGUGACUGCGUACCUUUUGUAUAAUGGGUCAGCGACUUAUAUUCUGUAGCAAGGUUAACCGUAUAGGGGAGCCGAAGGGAAACCGAGUCUUAACUGGGCGUUAAGUUGCAGGGUAUAGACCCGAAACCCGGUGAUCUAGCCAUGGGCAGGUUGAAGGUUGGGUAACACUAACUGGAGGACCGAACCGACUAAUGUUGAAAAAUUAGCGGAUGACCUGUGGCUGGGGGUGAAAGGCCAAUCAAACCGGGAGAUAGCUGGUUCUCCCCGAAAGCUAUUUAGGUAGCGCCUCGUGAACUCAUCUUCGGGGGUAGAGCACUGUUUCGGCUAGGGGGCCAUCCCGGCUUACCAACCCGAUGCAAACUACGAAUACCGAAGAAUGUUAUCACGGGAGACACACGGCGGGUGCUAACGUCCGUCGUGAAGAGGGAAACAACCCAGACCGCCAGCUAAGGUCCCAAAGUCAUGGUUAAGUGGGAAACGAUGUGGGAAGGCACAGACAGCCAGGAUGUUGGCUUAGAAGCAGCCAUCAUUUAAAGAAAGCGUAAUAGCUCACUGGUCGAGUCGGCCUGCGCGGAAGAUGUAACGGGGCUAAACCAUGCACCGAAGCUGCGGCAGCGACACUAUGUGUUGUUGGGUAGGGGAGCGUUCUGUAAGCCGUUGAAGGUGUGCUGUGAGGCAUGCUGGAGGUAUCAGAAGUGCGAAUGCUGACAUAAGUAACGAUAAAGCGGGUGAAAAGCCCGCUCGCCGGAAGACCAAGGGUUCCUGUCCAACGUUAAUCGGGGCAGGGUGAGUCGACCCCUAAGGCGAGGCCGAAAGGCGUAGUCGAUGGGAAACAGGUUAAUAUUCCUGUACUUGGUGUUACUGCGAAGGGGGGACGGAGAAGGCUAUGUCAGCCGGGCGACGGUUGUCCCGGUUUAAGCAUGUAGGCGGAGGUUCCAGGUAAAUCCGGUACCUUUUAACGCUGAGGUGUGAUGACGAGGCACUACGGUGCUGAAGUGAUAAAUGCCCUGCUUCCAGGAAAAGCCUCUAAGCAUCAGGUAACACGAAAUCGUACCCCAAACCGACACAGGUGGUCAGGUAGAGAAUACCAAGGCGCUUGAGAGAACUCGGGUGAAGGAACUAGGCAAAAUGGUGCCGUAACUUCGGGAGAAGGCACGCUGAUAGGUAGGUGAAGCCCCUGCGGGCGGAGCUGAAAUCAGUCGAAGAUACCAGCUGGCUGCAACUGUUUAUUAAAAACACAGCACUGUGCAAACACGAAAGUGGACGUAUACGGUGUGACGCCUGCCCGGUGCCGGAAGGUUAAUUGAUGGGGUUAGCGGCAACGCGAAGCUCUUGAUCGAAGCCCCGGUAAACGGCGGCCGUAACUAUAACGGUCCUAAGGUAGCGAAAUUCCUUGUCGGGUAAGUUCCGACCUGCACGAAUGGCGUAAUGAUGGCCAGGCUGUCUCCACCCGAGACUCAGUGAAAUUGAACUCGCUGUGAAGAUGCAGUGUACCCGCGGCAAGACGGAAAGACCCCGUGAACCUUUACUAUAGCUUGACACUGAACACUGGUCCUUGAUGUGUAGGAUAGGUGGGAGGCUUUGAAGCGUGGACGCCAGUCUGCGUGGAGCCAUCCUUGAAAUACCACCCUUUAAUGGCUGGUGUUCUAACGUAGACCCGUGAUCCGGGUUGCGGACAGUGUCUGGUGGGUAGUUUGACUGGGGCGGUCUCCUCCCAAAGAGUAACGGAGGAGCACGAAGGUUGGCUAAUCCUGGUCGGACAUCAGGAGGUUAGUGCAAUGGCAUAAGCCAGCUUGACUGCGAGCGUGACGGCGCGAGCAGGUGCGAAAGCAGGUCAUAGUGAUCCGGUGGUUCUGAAUGGAAGGGCCAUCGCUCAACGGAUAAAAGGUACUCCGGGGAUAACAGGCUGAUACCGCCCAAGAGUUCAUAUCGACGGCGGUGUUUGGCACCUCGAUGUCGGCUCAUCACAUCCUGGGGCUGAAGUAGGUCCCAAGGGUAUGGCUGUUCGCCAUUUAAAGUGGUACGCGAGCUGGGUUUAGAACGUCGUGAGACAGUUCGGUCCCUAUCUGCCGUGGGCGCUGGAGAAUUGAGGGGGGCUGCUCCUAGUACGAGAGGACCGGAGUGGACGCAUCACUGGUGUUCGGGUUGUCAUGCCAAUGGCACUGCCCGGUAGCUAAAUGCGGAAGAGAUAAGUGCUGAAAGCAUCUAAGCACGAAACUUGCCCCGAGAUGAGUUCUCCCUGAGACUUUAAGUCUCCUGAAGGAACGUUGAAGACGACGACGUUGAUAGGUCGGGUGUGUAAGCGCAGCGAUGCGUUGAGCUAACCGAUACUAAUGAACCGUGAGGCUUAACCUU
rnacentral:rRNA from 1 species